UACGAGUGCCCCAAGCGUUAUCCGGAAUUAUUGGGCGUAAAGGGUGUGUAGGUGGUUUUGUUAGUCUUCUGUUAAAGCUCCCGGCUUAACCGGGAAAGUGCAGGGGAAACGGCAAGACUAGAGGAUGUGAGGGGUCUAUGGAACUCAUGGUGUAGGGGUGAAAUCCGUUGAUAUCAUGGGGAACACCAAAAGCGAAGGCAAUAGACUGGCGCAUUCCUGACACUGAAACACGAAAGCGUGAGUAGCGAAUGGG
rnacentral:rRNA from 1 species